AGUCCUGCUGAGGCUUUUGAGCGAGUCACCGAUACGGGACUAAAAAUACCACCGGGGGCCUCAAGUUUUUAUUUUUCCUGUUCAACAGCACUUACAACAAAAACACCCAGCCAAAAUAGCAGCACAAAACCGGCUGAGCCCCUGGUGGGUGAUGAAGGAGCUGGGGGUGGGCAGGUGAGAAGGUUCUGACUGUGCUGGGGCGGCCAGAGGAGGAGGAGGAGGAGGAGGAGGAAGAGAAGGAGCAUUCCUCUGCAGCAGAACAGGCUUCCAAGCAAGAUAACCCCAAGUUCUGUGGUGCACAAUUCUCUGCAGCUUUGGAUGAUGCUGAGCCAAAUAUAAGGAGCAUAAUCCUCUAUUUUCUGUGCUGCUGAAUACUGGCAGUGUGAUUUUGUCAGUGCAUUUGUCCUUUCUGGUGUAUUUAAUGGAGCUUUGUCUGACUGCUCUGGUGCAUCCAGGACACUGGGCAUCCAAGAUCCCCUUGUGGCCAUGCUGGCAGCCAGCCUUUGGGGAGAAACCUUUCCAGGAGUUCAUCUUUCAGCCUCCUGGCCAAUUUUCAAGAGAGCAUUGGCAGAAUCUUUCCCAAUGCCCAGGGAAUGCCAGGCAGGUGUGGGGAUUUUACAUCCCGUGGCUCUGGAAGCAAAUUCCCCAAGGUAACAGCAAAGGUGUGCUGGGAUGCUCCCACAGGAGCUUCGUGAGCAGGACAGGGGUCAGGGAAGAGGUUUUGGAAAAGCCAGGGAAUCUCAGAAAACAGGAAGCUGGACAGGACAAACGCAGAUCCAAACCAAUGUGGUUAAUCAAACAUUCUCCUUUCAUUCCAGAGAAGAUGGCAGUUUUUAUACACUUCUACAUAGUUUACAGGUUACAAAGGCACUCUGAUUGGCACGCUAACAUUGUUUAGCUUUGCCUUAAGGUGGUCAAACUUUUCACACUGCAGCUCUACCCUAAUUCACGCUCAGAUAGCUGAUUACUUUGUAGUUACCUUAACAUAAUUUCUGACUGCGCCACAAUUAAUUUCUCACUGCAUCAAAGGCCUCCAGGCCCCACCAAGGCCGAUUAUCAGGGCCUGGUCUGAGGGGUAGCUCAAGUCUCACUCCAGACAUAAAUCAUGUUCUCUGUUACUCAAAAAUUCUGUAACAUUUGGGGUUUUGCUGGUGGGAUUUAGGGAGCAGGAGUGAAGCAAGGAGGGUUUGGAGGUAGGGCUGGGCACAAUCCUGAGCUGCCCCUGGGUUCAGAGGGGUCCGGAGCCCCUCGUGUGUUGCAGAACGAAGCAAGAGGAAAGGGCUGCUCCAUAAUAUCCCUGCUGAGGCCGCCUGGCACUGCUUGGUUAACGUGCCCAGGGAAAGGAGGACGAGCAGAUGUUUUCAGUCAGGCUCUUUGCAGCACAAAGCAGCAGUGGGGAAGUCCCUGAAAUGUCCCUGCACUUUGGUUUUCUGCUAAGACCCUGCUCAAACAGGAGCAGAAGCAGACAGAUCCGCAGCGUUCUUGAAGAAGUGGUGAUGAUGAAAUUCAGUCAGGGGAUGCUGGGUCACACAGGGGUGUCCCCUCACCUGUCCCUCACCCUGGGGAGCAGCAGGUCAAGGGAUCGGACACACGGGGACACCCAGGUGACAGCUCUGGUGUCAUGGACAGGUCACUGCACGUCCUCCCCUUUGUGAUGCAGUUAAGAGAGACAGUGCAGCUGUGGCUUGGGGGAAAGAUGAUUAACCGUUAUAACCCAAAUUACAGCUCCUAAUUGGGAUUAAUUUGGUGAGUUAAUUAUGUGUGGAAAUCUGUUGCCUCCCACUUUUCCUUGAUGAACUUCUUGCUCCCGAGCCCAGUCCCAGCCUGGCCACAGCUGGGCACAGCUGGAAGGGCAGAGGGCUGUCACUGCUGUGUGGUGACACAGAGAUUGUGGUGGCACUGCUGGUGACAGCCAGAGGGGCUCCAGUUUAGCACCCAGGCAUGGCCACUGUCUGACCCAGGUGCAGAGAUGGCAAAGGGUGGGGACAGGAACCAAGAGGGCUCAGACCUCAGUGCCAAACCUGAACGGGCCUUUGCAGAGGGACAGAAAUGUCACAGGAACCUGGGGGCAGCUGAGGAAAGUCUUGCUGAUGCCCUCAGGGGCUGAGGAACCUUGCAGGUAAAUCUGGUGGAGCUUCCCUGCACCCCUGACCUGCUCACGAAGCUCCUGUGGGAGCAUCCCAGCACACCUUUGCUGUUACCCUGGGGAAUUUGCUUCCAGAUGGCUUUAAAAUAAAACAGGGUCAUUUCAGACUGAAUAUAAGGAAAAAAAUAUUUAUAGUGUGGGUGGUGAGGCCCUGGCACAGGUGCCCAGAGAAGCUGUAGCUGCCCCUGGAUCCCUGGAAGUGUCCAAGGCCAGGCUGGAUGAGGUUUGGAGCAGCCUGGGACAGUGGAAAAUGUCCUGCCCAUGGCAGAGGUUGGAAUUAAAUGAGCUUUAAAACUUCCAAGCCAAACCAUUCCAUGAUUCUGUGAUUCCCAUCUGUCCCAGCAGUGUCCAGGCCUGCUGUGCUCCCUGUUCCAUGUACAGACCCUGCCCUGCUCCCACUGCUGCACACAGCCAGACAGCUGGCAGAGCUGCUGGAGCUCCUAUUAUUUUUUCUCAGCACUCUCCUGAAAAUUAAUUAAUUCCAUUAAUUCAUUAAAUAAACAUUCCUCCACGCUCUGAGCCAGCUGUGCACGGUGUCAAGCUGCAAGAAUAUCACUCAUUGCCAGUCUGAAUUUCCAGGUCCCAGUCCUAGUGACAGCAAACCAGGGGAAUUUUGGAAGGAAUUGGGUCUGGGAGUGAGGGUUGCAAUGCAACAUUCAGCAAAAAAUGAAAAUGAAAUGCUCUGCACACAAAGCUCUGGAGUGGCUGCAUUUUCAUGCAGGUUGGGAAGUCUUCCCUUAUUUCUUAGUGAUGCUGUCAGAUGCUUUGAAUCCUUAGAUGAAAGGCACUAAAUUAGGCCAGAUUGUUGUUUCCUGUUUUCUGGUUUAUAUUUAGAGAGAAGCUGAUACCUCUGGCAGCUCUCUCUAACACAAAAACAAAUUUCUCUCCUGUUUCUAACUGGUCUCUGCUGGAACCUCAGUUCAGAGGGUGCAGGGUGGUGGGAGCCCUCUGAGGGAUGGAGAGGAGAUGGGAACACCCACCUUGCCCUUUCCUCUGGCAUUCCAGAGCCAAAAGCCAGGCCUUGGGAGUGGACUCGUCAUUCAUCCAUUUAUUCUUGCCCUCCUGAUGCUCUUUGCAGGCAGCAGUGGCACCUGUGCCAAGAAGAUGCCAAACCCUACAGAGCCACCAAAACCCCCCAAGCAUUCCCCUCUCUCCCCAGCCUCCCCAGAUUUAAUUUCCCCCCUCUCCAGAGGAGCUGGAUGCUGAGGGCUGGGUCCUGGCUCAGCUGCCACCCUCCCUGGGCUGGGGGAUGUCCCAUCCUGUCCCCUCCUCAGGCACGGGCAGGAGAAGCUGCUCCCUCAGCAUUUCUGCUCUGCUCUGGGGAUGGCUCUCGGUAUUUCUCUGCCUGCCUCGGGGAAUAAUAUUGAAUGGGCCUUAUCUCUCCUGAGAAAAUAUCGAUCCCGAGUUUUAAAGGCUUUCCACUAACGAGUGGUGUCCAUAAAAACGGGAAUGCUCAGCCCCACCGCUCUGAGAAGGACUUUCACUCUCAAUCCACAUCCCUUCUGCAAGGUACAAUAAAAUAAAGAAUGAAAAAGAAAGAAAAAAAAAAAAAGGCAGAAGAUUUUGCUGCUCUUUUCACCCAGUCUGAGGACAGAUUUUCAAUUUGUUCACUUUCUUCACAGCUCUGGGUUUGCCACAGGGAGAGAGAGAGAGACGAGGGAAGGGGACAGAAAUUAAAUGCAUUCGUUUAUUUUGGGAAAGUCAUCCUAAAAGGGGAAAAAUAUUAUUAAAAAAAAAGAAAAAAAAAAGAAAAAAA
ensembl:lncRNA